GAUGAACGCUGGCGGCGUGCCUAAUACAUGCAAGUCGAGCGAACAGACGAGGAGCUUGCUCCUCUGACGUUAGCGGCGGACGGGUGAGUAACACGUGGAUAACCUACCUAUAAGACUGGGAUAACUUCGGGAAACCGGAGCUAAUACCAGAUAAUAUAUUGAACCGCAUGGUUCAAUAGUGAAAGACGGUCUUGCUGUCACUUAUAGAUGGAUCCGCGCCGCAUUAGCUAGUUGGUAAGGUAACGGCUUACCAAGGCAACGAUGCGUAGCCGACCUGAGAGGGUGAUCGGCCACACUGGAACUGAGACACGGUCCAGACUCCUACGGGAGGCAGCAGUAGGGAAUCUUCCGCAAUGGGCGAAAGCCUGACGGAGCAACGCCGCGUGAGUGAUGAAGGUCUUCGGAUCGUAAAACUCUGUUAUUAGGGAAGAACAAAUGUGUAAGUAACUAUGCACAUCUUGACGGUACCUAAUCAGAAAGCCACGGCUAACUACGUG
rnacentral:rRNA from 1 species